rnacentral:rRNA from 1 species
GAGACCGGCGCACGGGUGCGUAACGCGUAUGCAAUCUACCUUUUACAGUGGGAUAGCCCAGAGAAAUUUGGAUUAAUACCACAUAGUAUAUCAUUUUCGCAUGAAGGAGAUAUUAAAGUCACAACGGUAAAAGAUGAGCAUGCGUCCCAUUAGUUAGUUGGUAAGGUAACGGCUUACCAAGACUACGAUGGGUAGGGGUCCUGAGAGGGAGAUCCCCCACACUGGGACUGAGACACGGCCCAGACUCCUACGGGAGGCAGCAGUGGGGAAUAUUGCACAAUGGGCGCAAGCCUGAUGCAGCAACGCCGCGUGAGGGACGACGGCCUUCGGGUUGUAAACCUCUUUUAGUAGGGAAGAAGCGACUGGGUUUUCCUGGGAGUGACGGUACCUGCAGAAAAAGCACCGGCUAACUACGUGCCAGCAGCCGCGGUAAUACGUAGGGUGCAAGCGUUGUCCGGAAUUAUUGGGCGUAAAGAGCUCGUAGGCGG